ACAAGAUAUCUUUGAGAGUGUUAGAGAGAGAAAGUGGGAGCAAGAGGAAAAAUGGUUAGAGAGAAGGGGAACUUGAAGAAUCAAGGAGUGGAAGAGAGCUAGGAGCAAAACUGAAGCUUAAGCUAGGGAGAUUAAUCUAACUAAGGUAAGGGGGUUGGAAUUCAUCAUAAUCAUAAUUGCAAUUUUUCAAUUAUUGUAUGAAUAAGUGCUUAAUUGGAUAAUUAAUUAUUUGUUAAUGGAUGAUGAAAUUCGUGCUCUAAUUAUGAUCAAUUUUUAAAUGUAUGAAGUUAUGAAUAAUUGGAUUGUUGUUAGUUGAAUUUCAGGUUCAAAGUAUGAGAAAAUGGUAUAUGUUGAAAAUAUGCUCAAUUGGUUGAAUUAUGCUAUGUUGUUGUUGAAUUGUGAUAAUAGUCAUGUUCAAUUGAUGUUGUUGGUGCUAAGUGAUAUUGUUGUUGAUGAUUCAUGGCUUGGGUGUUCAUAAUUCAUGAUUUGAUGAUGUGAAAUAAGUUAUUGUUGUUGAUUUGGUGAAAAUGGGUACUUAUGAGUUUUGCUCAAAUUGUUGGAUUGAAAUAUUGUGUUGUUGAAUUAUGGUUGAAUUUAUGUCUAAAUGAAGUGUUUUUGAAUUAGAUAUGUUGUUGUUGUUGUUGAAUUAUACCAUAGGUAUUCCAUUUUAUGAAGUUGUUGUCUGUAUUAGUGAAGUUGUGCUAGAUGUUCAUGUGAAGGACCCAAAAUGAAAUUUGAUAUACAAAGUUGUUGACGGAGUUGUCGACGUGGUUGGAUGAGUUAAACUUGAUGGAAUUUCUGUUUUUAUGUUGUAGUUGUGAUAGUCGAGUCGUUUGGGAGAAAUCGGGAGUUUCGGGUGAAAAUUCAAUUGUUAACCGCUUUGGAAAAAUGAUUUUUUGUGUAAGGCUUUGGAAAAUGAAUUUGGGGUUGUUGAACUUGAAUUUUUCUGUACAUUAAGAUAGAGCUAAGUGUCAUGAACAUGUAGGUGAAAACGGUGUCGAAAACGGAUUAACGGUUUGAUUUUUAUGCGCGAAAACGUGAAUGUUGAAAAUCUGAUGCUGUCUGUCAAACUAUGAUCGUGCCACGAUGCAGGGCCAACGUGCGACGAUUUUGAUCAGGAUUUCAGUCUUUCUGAUCCUAGAAAAAUCGUGCCACGAUGGGAGACCAACGUGCCACGAUGUUGUUUUACUAGAAACCUUAAAAAUGCAAUUUUCUUCGAUCCAAUUGUUUCCAAACUUAUUCCUAAGUGUAGGGACUCUAUCCUAACCAUCUAGGGGUGCUUUUAUGAAAGAAUUAACCUUGUGUAAAGGGUCUAGUGAACCUUUGUGUUGUUUUGUCUUGAGAAUUAUCAAUGUUGGUCGUUUGCCACUUGAUACGUUUUUUGUUGGAAAUGUUCCUUGAGCCAAUUGUUUUAUGUUCUAACGUGACUAUUCUCAUAUGACUAAGUGAAGUUGUAUGAAUGAAUGAUUGUAUUAUGGAUAUAAUGUUUAUCAUGAGAUGUGUAUGCUAUCUUACUUAGGAUGUAAGAAAUGCUUGAAAUGGUAAGGCUAUAUGUGAUAGUUGAUGUUGAAUGACAUUGUUGAUUAUUGAUGAUCAUGUUGAUGUGGUGAUAAUGAAUCUUAUGAUUUGAUUGUGUAUGGACAUGUUUUUUGAUAAUGCAAAUGUUGUGGAGAUGAUCAAUAUAUUUGGAAGUUGUCCUCUAUAUUGUGGUGAAAAUUGUGGAUUGAUGUCGCAUUAUUGAGUCUUGUUACAUGUCCAUGCAUCAUAGUCAUGUUGAGAUUUUAUAUGAUGUUUUUGUUGUAUCAUUGGGCUCCGGCCUAGCAGAGAUCAUUUAGUGAUCUAGUUUUGUGGACUUCGGUCUUGCAGAAAUCCAUUAGUGAUCUAGAUUGUGGGCUUCGGCCUUGCAGAGACCUUGAUGGUCUAGAUAUAGGUGACGACCUUGAAGUGAAACGGUACCACAUGCAUAUAUGUGUCGAACUAGGUGCACAUCAGGACAUGAGUCUUAUUUUGAAAUGUGAUUGGUGAUUGUGUAUGAAUAACUGUGAAUUGAUGAUUGUUCAUGACACAUGUGAUUGGUGAUUAAUUGAUGUGAGAUAUUGGGAUCAUGAUAUAUAAGUAUAUAUAUAUAUAUAUAUAUAUAUAUAUAUAUAUGUGUGUGUGUGUGUGUGUGUGUGUGUGUGUGUGAAUAUUAUUAUUGAUCAAGUACAUGAUGUUUGAAUUGAAUUAUUCAUGUUAAUUGUUAUGUGGAUUAUGAUGAUGUAAUACUUACCCCCAGUGGUUUUGACCGUCUGUCUGUAUGGAUGGGUAGACGUUGUGCAGGAUUAGCUGCUCUGGUGAGUUCUUUGUGCUUGGUGGAUAUCGGGUCGGGAGCUAUCUCCGGUAUCAGUAUUGUAGAGUCUAGGAUGGCUCUAAUCUAGGCGUCUGUUGUUGUCUAGAUUAUUUGUUUGGAUUAUUUAUGAUUCAUCCAUUGUUGGGAUUUUGGAGAUUCAUCUAUGUUGAUGUCUAAAGUAGUCUGGUU
rnacentral:lncRNA from 1 species